CAGAGGGUGCGAGCGUUGUCCGGAAUCACUGGGCGUAAAGGGCGCGUAGGCGGCGGGGGAAGUCCAUGGUGAAAGCUCGCGGCUCAACUGCGAGUCGGCCACGGAUACUCUUUCGCUCGAGCACUGUAGAGGCAGAUGGAAUUCCGGGUGUAGCGGUGGAAUGCGUAGAGAUCCGGAAGAACACCGGUGGCGAAGGCGGUCUGCUGGGCAGUAGCUGACGCUGAGGCGCGACAGCGUGGGGAGCAAACAGGAUUAGAUACCCUGGUAGUCCACGCCGUAAACGAUGGGCACUAGGUGCUUGGGGGAGCGACCCUCUGAGUGCCGGCGCUAACGCAUUAAGUGCCCCGCCUGGGGAGUACGGCCGCAAGGCUG
rnacentral:rRNA from 1 species